rnacentral:tRNA from 1 species
UGGAAUGUGGCUUAGUGGUAGAGCGCUUGCCUAGCAUGCAUGAAGCCCUGGGUUCAAUUCCUCAGUACCAC